UUAUAUUGUGGUGAGCCAGACAAAAUUA
rnacentral:piRNA from 1 species